UAGUGGCGCACGGGUGAGUAACGCGUAGAUAAUCUGCCUGAUGAUCUGGAAUAACACUUCGAAAGGAGUGCUAAUACCGGAUAAGCUCACGACGGCUUUGGUCGUUGCGGGAAAAGGGGGGGACCUUCGGGCCUUCUGUCAUCAGAUGAGUCUGCGUACCAUUAGCUAGUUGGUGGGGUAAGGGCCUACCAAGGCGACGAUGGUUAGCUGGUCUGAGAGGAUGAUCAGCCACACUGGAACUGAGACACGGUCCAGACUCCUACGGGAGGCAGCAGUGGGGAAUUUUGCGCAGUGGGCGAAAGCCUGACGCAGCAACGCCGCGUGAGUGAUGAAGGCUUUCGGGUCGUAAAGCUCUGUCAGGGGGAAAGAAGUGCAAGGUGGUUAAUACCCGCUUUGUUUGACGGUACCCCCAAAGGAAGCACCGGCUAACUCCGUGCCAGCAGCCGCGGUAAUACGGAGGGUGCGAGCGUUGUUCGGAAUUAUUGGGCGUAAAGCGCGUGUAGGCGGUUUGGUAAGUCUGAUGUGAAAGCCCCGGGCUCAACCUGGGAAGUACAUUGGAUACUGCUAGACUUGAAUACGGGAGAGGGCAGUGGAAUUCCUGGUGUAGGAGUGAAAUCCGUAGAUAUCAGGAGGAACACCGGUGGCGAAGGCGGCUGCCUGGACCGAUAUUGACGCUGAGACGCGAAAGCGUGGGUAGCAAACAGGAUUAGAUACCCUGGUAGUCCACGCCGUAAACGAUGAGUACUAGGUGUUGCGGGUAUUGACCCCUGCAGUGCCGCAGCUAACGCAUUAA
rnacentral:rRNA from 1 species